ACAAAAAUAUAACUAUCGUAUUCAAAGUCCAAAAUUCUAUUAUAGUGUACGAAGAGAUUUACGAUUUAUUUUUUUCGCUCAGAAUUUUGUUUUAAAUCCUAAACCCUAACAUAAAUUCCGAAUUAUUCUGGUCGGUUACAAUCAGGUUACCGAGAAAACGCCAUCUAUCGGCGUUAUCAAACUUUGACAAAACUUGAAGUUCCAUUUAACUACAGGCACAAUGAAUUUCUCUGUUAAAGUUUGACUAUAGCGAAUUCACUCACCGAAACGGUCCCUGUAGAUAUUUGGUCAUUCGAACAUUGUUUUUAAUUGUUUUAUUUCAACAAUAUUAUUUGAAAAUUAUACAUUUG